GCUGGAUGUGGUAGUGCAUUCUUGUAGUCCCAGCUAUUUGGGAGGCUGAGACAGGAGGAUUGCUUGAGAGUUCAGGAGUUCUGGACUGUAUGUGCUAUGCCAAUCGAGCGUCCACACAAAGUUCAGCCUCGAUCUGGUGACCUCCUGGGAUGGAGGGAGGGGGCGCGACACCAGGUUGCCUAAGGAGGGGUGAACUGGCCCAGGUUGGAAAUGGAGCAGGUUAAAACUCCUAUGCUGAUCAGUAGUGGGAUCGUACCUGUGAAUAGCCACUGUACUCCAGCCUGGGCAAUAUAGUGAGACCCUGUCUA
rfam:Otolemur garnettii contig123270, whole genome shotgun sequence.